AUCCAGAUGACCAGUUUCAAAUAGGAUGAAACACUCGUCCUGGAU
rfam:Schistosoma curassoni strain Dakar, Senegal genome assembly, scaffold: SCTD_scaffold0002235